CUGCCAGGGCCACUGCAUGGGGAGAGCCUGUCUGAGAAUGGAACCAACCCAGAAAAGCAGAGCCAAGAGACAAAAAAGAGAGUGAUUCCUGAGGACAUUGUUGGAGAACCUGUGCCUGAAGUGGAAUCUAUUCUUGGAUUUUUUAGUUACAUGCGUCUAAAACUCCUGAAAAACAAAACAAACGUUCAAUUCAGUUUAAGUGCUGCUUUGUCACUGGCAACAGAAAGAGUCCUAACUGCUACUCAGAUUUCAGACAAUUCAGAAAAGUUGUCCAGGAUUUCAUGAAAUGGGGCUUGGAAGGAAGCUAGCUCAGAAGAAUUGGGAAAUGCUCACAAUGGCAGAUGAGAAGAAAGAGGAGCAGAAGGAGGCACCCACCGAUGGAGCAUGACUACCAAAGGGGGCCUCCAGGGAGGCUGAGUUUUAGAGGACACGUCUGACAGAGGGAAAGGAGGACCAAAAGCCCAUGACAAUGAUGAGACCAACCAGCUUGCAGUCGACACACAUGUGAGUGACGGCGUUCUGGACCACCAAGGCCCCCUGAACAAGCCCAGACUAGAGGAAUCACCUGGCCAACCCACAAAAUUGUGAGAAAUAAUAAAGGAUUAUUUAUGAAGUCACUAUA